UACGUAGGGCGCAAGCGUUAUCCGGAAUUAUUGGGCGUAAAGAGCUCGUAGGCGGUUUGUCGCGUCUGCCGUGAAAGUCCGGGGCUCAACUCCGGAUCUGCGGUGGGUACGGGCAGACUAGAGUGAUGUAGGGGAGACUGGAAUUCCUGGUGUAGCGGUGAAAUGCGCAGAUAUCAGGAGGAACACCGAUGGCGAAGGCAGGUCUCUGGGCAUUAACUGACGCUGAGGAGCGAAAGCAAGGGGAGCGAACAGG
rnacentral:rRNA from 1 species